CUGCGGCAGGGUUUUUAAAAAAAAUGAAAUUUCAAAACAACAUUUCCCCCCUUUUUUUUCUCUCCCUCUCGUUAACUCUCUUUCUUCCCCCCAUUUUUGCUCCGGCCAACCACCAUCACUGCCGACGAGAGACCCAGACUAGACCUAUGGUGACCGAUGACCUUCCCAACUUACAAGCACAAACUAACGUUCAAUCUUCACAGAGUGCUUCUGCCUAUAACU
rnacentral:misc_RNA from 1 species